AACGAACGCUGGCGGCAGGCUUAACACAUGCAAGUCGAACGCAUCCUUCGGGGUGAGUGGCAGACGGGUGAGUAACGGGUGGGAACGCGCCCUUCAGUUCGGGAUAACCCAGGGAAACUUUGGCUAAUACCGGAUACGUGCGAGAGCAGAAAGAUUUAUCGCUGAAGGAUCGGUCCGCGUCUAAUUAGCUAGUUGGUGGGGUACUGGCCCACCAAGACGACGAUCAGUAGCUGGUCUGAGAGGAUGAUCAGCCACAUUGGCACUGAUCCACGGCCCAAACUCCUACGGGGGGCAGCAGUGGGGAAUAUUGGACAAUGGGCGCAAGCCUGACCCAGCAAUCCCGCGUGAGGGAUGACGGCCUUAGGAUUGUAAAGCUCUUUCGUACGGGCCGAUAAUGCCGGUACCGGAAGAAGCAGCCCCGGCUACCUUCGUGCCAGCAGCCGCGGUAA
rnacentral:rRNA from 1 species